AUUGAACGCUGGCGGCAUGCUUUACACAUGCAAGUCGAACGGCAACAGGCCGCCUGGUGCUGACGCGUGGGGGACGGGCGAGUAAUGCAUCCGUACGUACCCAGCCGUGGGGGAUAACUACUCGAAAGAGUAGCUAAUACCGCAUACGAUCUAUGGAUGAAAUCGAGGGACCGUAAGGCCUCGCUUGAUCGGUUCGGCCGAUGUCCGAUUAGGUAGUUGGUGGGGUAAAGGCUCGCCAAGACGACGAUCUGUAGCUGGUCUCAGAGGACGACCGGCCACACUGGGACUGAGCCAGGGCCCAGACUCCUACGGGAGGCAGCAGUGUGGAAUUGUGGACAAUGGGCGCAAGCCUGAUACAGCAAUGCCGCGUGCAGGAAGAAGGCCUUCGGGUUGUAAAGUGCUUUUGUACGGAACGAAACGGCUCUGGCUAAUACGGGGGGCUAAUGACGGUACCGGAAGAAUAAGCACCGGCUAACUACGUG
rnacentral:rRNA from 1 species